rnacentral:piRNA from 1 species
UGCAAAGAUCAGAGCCCGAGGCUUCCAC